UACGAAGGGUGCAAGCGUUACUCGGAAUUACUGGGCGUAAAGCGCGUGUAGGCGGCUUUGCAAGUCGGGUGUGAAAGCCCUCGGCUCAACCGAGGAAGUGCGCCCGAAACUGCAGAGCUUGAGUACCGGAGAGGAUGGCGGAAUUCCCCAAGUAGAGGUGAAAUUCGUAGAUAUGGGGAGGAACACCGGUGGCGAAGGCGGCCAUCUGGACGGAUACUGACGCUGAGACGCGAAAGCGUGGGUAGCAAACAGG
rnacentral:rRNA from 1 species